UUACUUCAGGAGCACAUGUACUAAAACUGGAAUGAUAGAAAGUAGAUUAACAUGACCCCUGUGUAAUGAUGAAAACUCAUGACAUACUCCAUAUUUCU
rnacentral:snRNA from 1 species